rnacentral:rRNA from 1 species
UACGAAGGGGGCUAGCGUUGCUCGGAAUCACUGGGCGUAAAGCGCACGUAGGCGGAUUGCUAAGUCAGGGGUGAAAUCCUGGAGCUCAACUCCAGAACUGCCCUUGAUACUGGCGGUCUCGAGUCCGGGAGAGGUGAGUGGAACUGCGAGUGUAGAGGUGAAAUUCGUAGAUAUUCGCAAGAACACCAGUGGCGAAGGCGGCUCACUGGGCCCGGUACUGACGCUGAGGUGCGAAAAGCGUGGGGGAGCAAACAGG